GAUGAAGAACGCAGCGAAAUGCGAUAAGUAGUGUGAAUUGCAGAAUUCAGUGAAUCAUCGAAUCUUUGAACGCACAUUGCGCCCCUUGGUAUUCCAUGGGGCAUGCCUGUUCGAGCGUCAUUUGUACCUUCAAGCUUUGCUUGGUGUUGGGUGUUUGUCUCGCCUUUGCGUGUAGACUCGCCUUAAAAUAAUUGGCAGCCGGCGUAUUGAUUUCGGAGCGCAGUACAUCUCGCGCUUUGCACUCAUAACGACAGCGUCCAAAAGUACAUUUUACACUCUUGACCUCGGAUCAGGUAGGGAUACCCGCUGAACUUAAGCAUAUCAAUAAGCGGAGGGA
rnacentral:misc_RNA from 1 species